UCUCACUUUCCUUUUUACAUUUUGAUUUUCCUUUCCAAUUUUUUUACUUCCUUCUUUCUGUAAUUUCACACACACACACACUCGCCCGUUUACUUGGAACUCGGUUUCUUUGUUUCACAAAACCUUCAGAACAAAGCACUGCAUUAUGUAUUGCAGGCCAUGAGUCAGUGAAUUGUAGAGCUGUAGCUGCUUGUGCAAAAUUCCAAUCACACUGGUUCAUCAAAAAAUUCCAAUCACGCUGAAUUUAAUCGAAUCCCGCUGCUGACUUCAUGGCGGAGAGCGAUCGCGAUCAUCACUCCACUGCCUCAGAAGAAGGAAAGUCCAAGGCUACACCCCUUGGAACCAUUGAAGAAGUUGUCGUGAUGAGCUCCCAUGAAAGACUUCAUGAACUUUUAGACCGAGCGUCUGCAUCCAAUACACUGGCCAGCUUCUCCAUUUCUACUCCUACUUCAGAAAUGGACAUUACUACGAUUUUGGUUGGUUUUAAUUACUUUCCCACCGACAUCGGACUAAUGAUUUUGGCAGUAUUGGAGCAGCUAAGCAAUCUGUUCUAGCCUACCCCGAAGCCUAUCCUAAGUAUGAUAUGGCCAAAAACUUAAGCGAACAAGUCAAAGCUACGAAACAGCUUCUUCAACCUAAGGUUCAGUUUUGUGACAGCAAGGAGAGAGAAUUUCAAGACCUUGCAGAGAGGAAAUUCUGGAUUGAAACCAGGCAGGCCGCAAUAGUUGCGGAAAUUCACGACGCCAUCAAAGAGACUGAACCAAUCCAGGCACAACUCGAGAAAUUGCUCCUGCAGCAAGAUCAAUUUAAAGAAAAUGAGGGUAAUCUCAAGACCAUCUUGGAUAUUGGAGAUGGCCUCUGGACAACCUUGAAGAACAUAAUUCACCCCCACCUCCCCACGUGACUUCCUUUCUUGGAUUGCAUUGGGGCUGCAGUUCUUUUUCCAUUUCUUUUUGGUGUUGUUUUGGAUGGUGUUCUCAGUACACUUGAAAAAUCAUGUUUAAGCCGUAUUUUGGUCUUUUGAACUUUAAUUGAAGUAUUUUUGUAUUAUAUGACUUUUUUAGAUUCUUAAUAACAAGUGCAUUUGCUUUGUCAACCUUGUAUUUCUAUUUUUUACUCUUGUAAUUUCUCAUCUUCGUUUGAUCCGAAACGGAAGGAUGAGAUUUUAAUUAGUAUCUAAAUGCAUGACAACGAUAAUGGAAAAAUUGGUUUU